rnacentral:rRNA from 1 species
AAUGAACGCUGGCGGCGUGCUUAACACAUGCAAGUCGAACGGUAACAGAGAGUAGCUUGCUACUUUGCUGACGAGUGGCGCACGGGUGAGUAAUAUAUAGAUAAUGUGCCUUUUAGUUCAGGAUAGCCAUUGGAAACGAUGAUUAAUACUGAAUACUCCUUCUUAUUAUAAGAUAAGUCGGGAAAGUUUUUCGCUAAAAGAUCGGUCUAUAUCCCAUCAGCUUGUUGGUAGUGUAAGAGACUACCAAGGCAAUGACGGGUAGCGGGUUUGAGAGGAUGAUCCGCCACACUGGUACUGAGACACGGACCAGACUCCUACGGGAGGCAGCAGUGAGGAAUAUUGGUCAAUGGGCGCGAGCCUGAACCAGCCAUCCCGCGUGCAGGAUGACGGCCCUAUGGGUUGUAAACUGCUDUUCUGCGCCAAGAAACCUCCCGACGAGUCGGGAGUUGACGGUAGCGUAGGAAUAAGGACCGGCUAACUCCGUGCCAGCAGCCGCGGUAAUACGGAGGGUCCAAGCGUUAUCCGGAUUCAUUGGGUUUAAAGGGUGCGCAGGCGGGGAUGUAAGUCAGUGGUGAAAUGUUGCCGCUCAACGGUAAAAUUGCCAUUGAUACUGCAUCUCUUGAGUAUGGUUGAGGUAGGCGGAAUGUGUUGUGUAGCGGUGAAAUGCAUAGAUAUGACACAGAACGCCGAUUGCGAAGGCAGCUUACUAAGCCAUUACUGACGCUGAGGCACGAAAGCGUGGGGAGCGAACAGGAUUAGAUACCCUGGUAGUCCACGCCGUAAACGAUGUUCACUCGCUGUUUGCGAUACACAGUAAGCGGCUAAGCGAAAGCAUUAAGUGAACCACCUGGGGAGUACGAUCGCAAGGUUGAAACUCAAAGGAAUUGACGGGGGCCCGCACAAGCGGAGGAACAUGUGGUUUAAUUCGAUGAUACGCGAGGAACCUUACCUGGGCUUAAAUGUAGAUUGCAUAACUUAGAAAUAGGUUUUCCCUUCGGGGCUAUUUACAAGGUGCUGCAUGGUUGUCGUCAGCUCGUGCCGUGAGGUGUCGGGUUAAGUCCCAUAACGAGCGCAACCCCUAUCGUUAGUUGCCAGCGGGUAAUGCCGGGGACUCUAGCGAGACUGCCACCGUAAGGUGAGAGGAAGGUGGGGAUGACGUCAAAUCAGCACGGCCCUUAUGUCCAGGGCUACACACGUGUUACAAUGGCAGGUACAAAGGGCAGCUACACAGCGAUGUGAUGCUAAUCUCUAAAGCCUGUCCCAGUUCGGAUUGGAGUCUGCAACCCGACUCCAUGAAGUUGGAUUCGCUAGUAAUCGGAUAUCAGCAAUGAUCCGGUGAAUACGUUCCCGGGCCUUGUACACACCGCCCGUCAAACCAUGGAAGCUGGGGGUGCCUGAAGUCUGUAGCCGAAAGGAGCGGCCUAGGGUAAAACUAGUAACUAGGGUUA